UAGGGAAUAUUGGGCAAUGGGUGGAAGCCUGACCCAGCCAUCCCGCGUGCCGGAUGAAGGCCCUCUGGGUCGUAAACGGCUUUUGACGGUGAAGAACCGAAAGGGUGCGCCCUUUUUUGACGGUAGCCGUUGAAUAAGCACCGGCUAACUCCGUGCCAGCAGCCGCGGUAAUACGGAGGGUGCGAGCGUUGUCCGGAUUUAUUGGGUUGAAAGGGUGCGUAGGCUGGAAGGUCAGUCAGCGGUGAAAAGCAGUUGCUCAACAAUUGUCUUGCCGCAGAGACUUCC
rnacentral:rRNA from 1 species